rnacentral:rRNA from 1 species
GAUGAACGCUGGCGGCGUGCCUAAUACAUGCCAGUCGAGCGAACGGACGAGAAGCUUGCUUCUCUGAUGUUAGCGGCGGACGGGUGAGUAACACGUGGAUAACCUACCUAUAAGACUGGGAUAACUUCGGGAAACCGGAGCUAAUACCGGAUGAUAUUUUGAACCGCAUGGUGCAAAAGUGAAAGACGGUCUUGCUGUCACUUAUAGAUGGAUCCGCGCUGCAUUAGCUAGUUGGUAAGGUAACGGCUUACCAAGGCAACGAUGCAUAGCCGACCUGAGAGGGUGAUCGGCACACUGGAACUGAGACACGGUCCAGACUCCUACGGGAGGCAGCAGUAGGGAAUCUUCCGCAAUGGGCGAAAGCCUGACGGAGCAACGCCGCGUGAGUGAUGAAGGUCUUCGGAUCGUAAAACUCUGUUAUUAGGGAAGAACAUAUGUGUAAGUAACUGUGCACAUCUUGACGGUACCUAAUCAGAAAGCCACGGCUAACUACGUG